GGCCCGUUCGUCUAGGGGCCUAGGACACCACCCUCUCAAGGUGGAGACACGGGUUCGAAUCCCGUACGGGCUGCCA
rnacentral:tRNA from 1 species